rnacentral:rRNA from 1 species
GAUCAUGGCUACAGGACGAACGCUGGCGGCAUGCCUAAUACAUGCAAGUCGAACGAACACUUCGGUGUUAGUGGCGAACGGGUGAGUAACACGUAAGUAACCAAGCUAUUAGACGAGGAUAACUACUGGAAACGGUAGCUAAUACUGGAUAGGACGGAAGUUUAAAGAUCCUUUGGGGGAUUACUAAUGGAUGGGCUUGCGGCGCAUUAGCUAGUUGGUAGGGUAAAGGCCUACCAAGGCAACGAUGCGUAGCCGACCUGAGAGGGUGAACGGCCACACUGGGACUGAGACACGGCCCAGACUCCUACGGGAGGCAGCAGUAGGGAAUCUUCGGCAAUGGACGGAAGUCUGACCGAGCAAUGCCGCGUGAGUGAAGAAGGUCUUCGGAUCGUAAAGCUCUGUUAUUAGGGAAGAAAAGUAGUAAGAGGAAAUGCUUAUUAUGUGACGGUACCUAAUGACGAAAGCCACGGCUAACUACGUGCCAGCCGCCGC